GACGUAGGGCGCGAGCGUUGUCCGGAUUUAUUGGGCGUAAAGAGCUCGUAGGCGGCUUGUCGCGUCGACUGUGAAAUCCCCGCGGCUCAACUGCGGGUCUGCAGUCGAUACGGGCAGGCUAGAGUUCGGUAGGGGAGACUGGAAUUCCUGGUGUAGUGGUGGAAUGCGUAGAGAUCGGGAGGAACACCGGGUGGCGAAGGCGGCUCACUGGGCCGGUCCUGACGCUCAGGCGCGAAAGCGUGGGGAGCGAUCCGG
rnacentral:rRNA from 1 species